rnacentral:rRNA from 1 species
AGCGUAGACGGUGUUGCAAGUCUGAUGUGAAAGCCCGGGGCUCAACCCCGGUACUGCAUUGGAAACUGUCGUACUAGAGUGUCGGAGGGGUAAGUGGAAUUCCUAGUGUAGCGGUGAAAUGCGUAGAUAUUAGGAGGAACACCAGUGGCGAAGGCGGCUUACUGGACGAUCACUGACGCUGAGGCUCGAAAGCGUGGGGAGCAAACA